rnacentral:rRNA from 1 species
CACGUAGUUAGCCGUGGCUUUCUGAUUAGGUACCGUCAAGAUGUGCACAGUUACUUACACAUUUGUUCUUCCCUAAUAACAGAGUUUUACGAGCCGAAACCCUUCAUCACUCACGCGGCGUUGCUCCGUCAGGCUUUCGCCCAUUGCGGAAGAUUCCCUACUGCUGCCUCCCGUAGGAGUCUGGACCGUGUCCCAGUUCCAGUGUGGCCGAUCACCCUCUCAGGUCGGCUACGUAUCGUCGCCUUGGUAAGCCGUUACCUUACCAACUAGCUAAUACGGCGCGGGUCCAUCUAUAAGUGAUAGCAAAACCAUCUUUCACUUUAGAACCAUGCGGUUCUAAAUGUUAUCCGGUAUUAGCUCCGGUUUCCCGAAGUUAUCCCAGUCUUAUAGGUAGGUUACCCACGUGUUACUCACCCGUCCGCCGCUAACUUCAAAGGAGCAAGCUCCUUAUCUGUUCGCUCGACUUGCAUGUAUUAGGCACGCCGCCAGCGUUCAUCCUGAGCCAGGAUCAAACUCU